ACGUAGGUGGCAAGCGUUGUCCGGAUUUACUGGGUGUAAAGGGCGCGUAGGCGGGAUGGCAAGUCAGAUGUGAAAUCCAUGGGCUCAACCCAUGAACUGCAUUUGAAACUGUCGUUCUUGAGUAUCGGAGAGGCAAGCGGAAUUCCUAGUGUAGCGGUGAAAUGCGUAGAUAUUAGGAGGAACACCAGUGGCGAAGGCGGCUUGCUGGACGACAACUGACGCUGAGGCGCGAAAGCGUGGGGAGCAAACAG
rnacentral:rRNA from 1 species